rnacentral:lncRNA from 1 species
GUUUUCUGUCUGUUCUAAUCGCUUUGUCUCUCUUCUCCAUCGUCUUCCUUAAUAAUGCCUGAUAUUUUGUACCCUUUACUAGAACUUUUGGCCUUGAUUGUGAUGUUUUUGUUGAUUCAAGGUCCGCAAAAAUGGUGGGAUAGAUAUGCAGAAUCAUCACAAUAUGAGCUGCCAGUUGUAAACCGUCAACCACCAGCAGCUCCACAGCGCGCACCACCGCCGCCACUGUCAUCACCAACUUCAACUCAAUCCCAGAUGAAGGAAGGGAAGAAGGAUGAAAUUGUCAUCGAUAUCUAUAUCGAACGAGAAGGUGGGGAUCGUGAAUGCUCUAUUUGUCUAUCUGAAUUCAAAGGCCAGGAAUUGUUCCGGUGUCUUCCGGCAUGCAACCAUGGAUUUCACUUUGAAUGCAUCAAAAUAUGGUUGGAUAUCAGUCAAACCUGCCCAUUGUGCCGCCGGAGUACUGUCAUUGAACCAUGAUUCUUGCUUUUCUUGUAUUACAAAUCUAGAACUUUUUCUUUUGAUUUUAAUCCUACAAAGACAUUUUUUUGUAAUUGAAUAAGAUGUUUAGUUUCUGAAAUUACUGAGAAUAAGAGAUACUUCACCGAACAAAUGUUGACAAGGAAUAAAGUGUGAUAAGAGUAGUUAUGAAUGAAGAUACAUCAAUAAGG